rnacentral:rRNA from 1 species
UACAGAGGUCUCAAGCGUUGUUCGGAUUCAUUGGGCGUAAAGGGUGCGUAGGUGGCGCCGUAAGUCAGGUGUGAAAUUUCGGAGCUUAACUCCGAAACUGCAUUCGAUACUGCCGUGCUUGAGGACUGGAGAGGAGACUGGAAUUUACGGUGUAGCGGUGAAAUGCGUAGAUAUCGUAAGGAAGACCAGUGGCGAAGGCGGGCCUCUGGACAGUUCCUGACGCUGAGGCACGAAGGUCAGGGGAGCAAACGGG